rnacentral:rRNA from 1 species
CCUACGGGUGGCAGCAGUGGGGAAUAUUGGACAAUGGGCGAAAGCCUGAUCCAGCCAUGCCGCGUGUGUGAAGAAGGCCUUCGGGUUGUAAAGCACUUUCAGUGGGGAAGAAAGCCUUGGGGCUAAUACCCUCGAGGAAGGACAUCACCCACAGAAGAAGCACCGGCUAACUCCGUGCCAGCAGCCGCGGUAAUACGGAGGGUGCGAGCGUUAAUCGGAAUUACUGGGCGUAAAGCGCGCGUAGGCGGUCUGAUAAGCCGGUUGUGAAAGCCCCGGGCUCAACCUGGGAACGGCAUCCGGAACUGUCAGGCUAGAGUGCAGGAGAGGAAGGUAGAAUUCCCGGUGUAGCGGUGAAAUGCGUAGAGAUCGGGAGGAAUACCAGUGGCGAAGGCGGCCUUCUGGACUGACACUGACGCUGAGGUGCGAAAGCGUGGGUAGCAAACAGGAUUAGAUACCCUGAGUC